rnacentral:tRNA from 2 species
GGGCCGUUAGCUCAACCGGUAGAGCAACUGACUCUUAAUCAGUAGGUCCCCAGUUCGAUCCUGGGACGGCCCACCA